AACGAACGCUGGCGGCAUGCCUAACACAUGCAAGUCGAACGAGACCUUCGGGUCUAGUGGCGCACGGGUGCGUAACGCGUGGGAACCUGCCCUUAGGUUCGGAAUAACUCCCCGAAAGGGGUGCUAAUACCGGAUAAUGUCUUCGGACCAAAGAUUUAUCGCCUUUGGAUGGGCCCGCGUUGGAUUAGCUAGUUGGUAGGGUAAAAGCCUACCAAGGCGACGAUCCAUAGCUGGUCUGAGAGGAUGAUCAGCCACACUGGGACUGAGACACGGCCCAGACUCCUACGGGAGGCAGCAGUGGGGAAUAUUGGACAAUGGGCGAAAGCCUGAUGCAGCAAUGCCGCGUGAGUGAUGAAGGCCUUAGGGUUGUAAAGCUCUUUUACCCGGGAUGAUAAUGACAGUACCGGGAGAAUAAGCCCCGGCUAACUCCGUG
rnacentral:rRNA from 1 species